CGGUGUUUAACUGGCGUGAUGUGGGACGUCCUACCGGUGGGCUUAGCCUCGCGAGGGGCGGCCCAACUAAUAUCCCGUCGCGGUGCUCUUUACUGAGUGUCGAGUCGGGCCGGUACGUUUACUUUGAACAAAUUAGAGUGCUUAAAGCAGGCUAUCCUCGCCUGAAUACUGCGUGCAUGGAAUAAUGGAAUAGGACCUCGGUUCUAUUUUGUUGGUUUUCGGAACCCCGAGGUAAUGAUUAAUAGGGACAGAUGGGGGCAUUCGUAUUGCGACGUUAGAGGUGAAAUUCUUGGAUCGUCGCAAGACGGACAGAAGCGAAAGCAUUUGCCAAAAAUGUUUUCAUUAAUCAAGAACGAAAGUUAGAGGUUCGAAGGCGAUCAGAUACCGCCCUAGUUCUAACCAUAAACGAUGCCCAGCUAGCGAUCCGCCGAAGUUCCUCCGAUGACUCGGCGGGCAGCUUCCGGGAAACCAAAGCUUUUGGGUUCCGGGGGAAGUAUGGUUGCAAAGCUGAAACUUAAAGGAAUUGACGGAAGGGCACCACCAGGAGUGGAGCCUGCGGCUUAAUUUGACUCAACACGGGAAACCUCACCAGGCCCAGACACCGGAAGGAUUGACAGAUUGAUAGCUCUUUCUUGAUUCGGUGGGUGGUGGUGCAUGGCCGUUCUUAGUUGGUGGAGCGAUUUGUCUGGUUAAUUCCGAUAACGAACGAGACUCUAGCCUGCUAAAUAGGCGUACCUUAUGGUAUCGCGAAGGCCCCCGGCUUCGGCCGGUGGGUUUUUACUACCAACGUACAAACAAAUCUUCUUAGAGGGACAGGCGG
rnacentral:rRNA from 1 species